rnacentral:rRNA from 1 species
UACGUAGGGUGCGAGCGUUAAUCGGAAUUACUGGGCGUAAAGCGUGCGCAGGCGGUUCGUUAAGUUCGAUGUGAAAGCCCCGGGCUCAACCUGGGAAUGGCAUUGGAAACUGGCGAGCUCGAGUGUGGCAGAGGAAGGUGGAAUUCCACGUGUAGCGGUGAAAUGCGUAGAGAUGUGGAGGAACACCAAUGGCGAAGGCAGCCCCCUGGGCCGACAUUGACGCUCAGGCACGAAAGCGUGGGGAGCAAAC